CUGCACCACCAUUAUUCGUUUUAAGUGAUGGGGGGACGCAGUAGUAUAGGCGAAGCGUGCUGUUGGAGGGCACGUCUAAGCAGAGAGAUUGAGUGUUAGGCAAAUCCGGCACUCUUUAGGUUGUGCUGUGAUGGGGAGAGGAACUUGUUCCUCGAGUCGUUGAUUUCACACUGCCGAGAAAAGCCUCUAGCUAGAAUAACGGUGCCCGUACCGCAAACCGACACAGGUAGUCGAGAUGAGAAUUCUAAGGUGAGCGUGUGAACUGUCGUUACGGUACUCGGCAAUAUGACUCCGUAACUUCAGGAGAUGGAGUGCACUUUGAGCUACACGCUUCGAAGAGCGGAAGUAAAUAGGCCGAACCGUCUGUUUAUCAAA
rnacentral:rRNA from 1 species